GCGACAGGCUUAACACAUGCAAGUCGAGGGGCAGCGGGGGUGAUGGCUUGCCAUCACCUGCCGGCGACCGGCGCACGGGUGAGUAACACGUAUGCAACCUGCCCGCCACAGGGGGAUAAGCGGAAGAAAUUCCGUCUAAUACCGCGUGACGCGGCGCCGGGGCAUCCCGGUGCCGCCAAAGGGAUUACCGGUGGCGGAUGGGCAUGCGGCGCAUUAGCUAGUCGGCGGGGUAACGGCCCACCGAGGCGACGAUGCGUAGGGGUUCUGAGAGGAAGGUCCCCCACACUGGUACUGAGACACGGACCAGACUCCUACGGGAGGCAGCAGUGAGGAAUAUUGGUCAAUGGGCGCGAGCCUGAACCAGCCAAGUCGCGUGAGGGAUGACGGUCCUACGGAUUGUAAACCUCUUUUGCCGGGGAGCAAGCGUGCGUUCGUGAACGCGCGUCGAGAGUACCCGGAGAAAAAGCAUCGGCUAACUCCGUGCCAGCAGCCGCGGUAAUACGGAGGAUGCGAGCGUUAUCCGGAUUUAUUGGGUUUAAAGGGUGCGUAGGCGGGAUGCCAAGUCAGCGGUAAAAGUGCGGUGCUCAACGCCGUCGAGCCGUUGAAACUGGCGUUCUUGAGUGGGCGAGAAGUAUGCGGAAUGCGUGGUGUAGCGGUGAAAUGCAUAGAUAUCACGCAGAACUCCGAUUGCGAAGGCAGCAUACCGGCGCCCUACUGACGCUGAGGCACGAAAGCGUGGGUAUCGAACAAGAUUAGAUACCCUGGUAGUCCACGCAGUAAACGAUGAAUGCUAACUGUCCGGCUCGAAUGAGCGCUGGGCGGUACAGCGAAAGCGUUAAGCAUUCCACCUGGGGAGUACGCCGGCAACGGUGAAACUCAAAGGAAUUGACGGGGGCCCGCACAAGCGGAGGAACAUGUGGUUUAAUUCGAUGAUACGCGAGGAACCUUACCCGGGCUCAAACGCAGGAUGACGGGUCCCGAAAGGGGUCUUUCUUCGGACAUUCUGCGAGGUGCUGCAUGGUUGUCGUCAGCUCGUGCCGUGAGGUGUCGGCUUAAGUGCCAUAACGAGCGCAACCCCUGUCCACAGUUGCCAGCAGGUAAAGCUGGGGACUCUGUGGAGACUGCCGGCGCAAGCUGCGAGGAAGGCGGGGAUGACGUCAAAUCAGCACGGCCCUUACGUCCGGGGCGACACACGUGUUACAAUGGCAGGUACAGCGGGAUGCCACGGGGCGACCCGGCGCUGAACCCGAAAACCUGUCUCAGUUCGGAUUGGAGUCUGCAACCCGACUCCAUGAAGCUGGAUUCGCUAGUAAUCGCGCAUCAGCCACGGCGCGGUGAAUACGUUCCCGGGCCUUGUACACACCGCCCGUCAAGCCAUGGAAGCCGGGGGUACCUGAAGUGCGUGACCGCGAGGAGCGCCCUAGGGUAAAACCGGUGACUGGGGCUAAGUCGUAACAAGGUA
rnacentral:rRNA from 1 species